CGGACAGAUGGGAGCUUGCUCCCUGAUGUUAGCGGCGGACGGGUGAGUAACACGUGGGUAACCUGCCUGUAAGACUGGGAUAACUCCGGGAAACCGGGGCUAAUACCGGAUGCUUGUUUGAACCGCAUGGUUCAAACAUAAAAGGUGGCUUCGGCUACCACUUACAGAUGGACCCGCGGCGCAUUANCUAGUUGGUGAGGUAACUGCUCACCAAGGCAACGAUGCGUAGCCGACCUGAGAGGGUGAUCGGCCACACUGGGAC
rnacentral:rRNA from 1 species